GGGUAUGUGGUGUAGUGGUAUCACUCAUGCUUUGCAGAAAUGAUUGAUCCCUGAAAUAAACCAUCAACUUCUUUGUAUGCGGUCCAGGGCUCAAACCCGCGUGCAUA